CCACGUACAGUACAGCUGGUGCGGCAAAGAACUAAAAAUAGGCCUGGAACUGCCCGUGGAUCAACUAAGAAUGGAAACUGUUAUACCAACAACAGUUACAGGUGGGAUUACUGAAAGCCAGAGUUUUAAUUGGACCGUGUUUGGCAUAGUGGUUGGUGCAUUGACUUCGAUCGGUCUAUUAGUGCUUGGAGUCCUUUAUUUCCUUUUCGGUCAGGCUGUCUGUACAAAGACUUGUCGGCAGAAAUGCUGUCCAGGUGAGUAAAUAAGGAAUAAAUAUGGAUAUUUAAAUUGAAUUAUGUCAUUGUAUUAAAAUAAAUUUAAUGAAUUUAUUGGAAGCAACAUGCAGAAAGACUU